rnacentral:rRNA from 1 species
AGAGUUUGAUCCUGGCUCAGAGUGAAUGCUGGCGGCAGGCCUAACACAUGCAAGUCGAGCGGCAGCGCGUCCGACCACCCUCGGGUGGUCGGAUGGCGGCGAGCGGCGGACGGGUGAGGAAUGCAUCGGAAUCUGCCUCGUUGUGGGGGAUAACGUAGGGAAACUUACGCUAAUACCGCAUACGACCUACGGGUGAAAGUGGGGGACCUUCGGGCCUCACGCGAUGAGAUGAGCCGAUGCCGGAUUAGCUAGUUGGCGGGGUAAAGGCCCACCAAGGCGACGAUCCGUAGCUGGUCUGAGAGGAUGAUCAGCCACACUGGAACUGAGACACGGUCCAGACUCCUACGGGAGGCAGCAGUGGGGAAUAUUGGACAAUGGGGGCAACCCUGAUCCAGCCAUGCCGCGUGUGUGAAGAAGGCCUUCGGGUUGUAAAGCACUUUUGUUGGGGAAGAAACCGGCCGGGUUAAUACCCUGGUUGAAUGACGGUACCCAAAGAAUAAGCACCGGCUAACUUCGUGCCAGCAGCCGCGGUAAUACGAAGGGUGCAAGCGUUACUCGGAAUUACUGGGCGUAAAGCGUGCGUAGGCGGUUUGUUAAGUCUGCUGUGAAAGCCCUGGGC